GCUUUGAAAGGAAUUUAGUUACCAU
rnacentral:tRNA from 1 species